rnacentral:rRNA from 1 species
AUUGAACGCUGGCGGCAGGCCUAACACAUGCAAGUCGAACGAGUGGAGGACGGGUUGGCAAUGUAUGUGAAACUGCCUGAUGGAUGGGGAUAACUACUGGGCACUGUUGCUACUUCCGCAUUCAUGAGACUGGGCCCAGAUGGGAUUAGCUAGGAGGUGGGGUAACGGCUCACAUAGGCGACGAGCCAUAGCUGGUCUGAGAGGAUGACCAGCCACACUGGAACUGCGACACGGGCCAGACUCCUACGGGAGGCAGCAGUGGGGAAUAUUGCACAAUGGGCGCAAGCCUGAUGCAGCCAUGCCGCGUGUAUGAAGAAGGCCUUCGGGUUGUAAAGUACUUUCAGCGGGGAGGCGUUACCCGCAGAAGAAGCACCGGCUAACUCCGUGCCAGCAGCCGCGGUAAUAC